AGAGUCUGAGCUACAGGCAGUGCCUUCAGCUCUGAGCUCAGGCACCUCGAACCUUGUUUUUGUGGUGAAGGAUCUUAAAGUGCUGUGGGGAGUGAUCACGUUUUUCUCAACAUCCCUGGCUCCACCUCUUCUGCCACAAACGUCACCAUGGUGGUAUCUGCCGGCCCCUGGUCCAGUGAGAAAGCAGAGAUGAACAUUCUAGAAAUCAAUGAGAAAUUGCGCCCCCAGCUGGCAGAGAACAAACAACAGUUCAGAAACAUGAAGCAGAAAUUUCUUGUAACUCAAAUGGCCGGCUUCCUGGCCAACCAGCAGAACAAAUACAAGUAUGAGGAGUGCAAAGACCUCAUAAAAUCUAUGCUGAGGGAAGAGCUGCAGUUCAAGGAGGAGAAGCUUGCAGAGCAGCUCAAGCAAGCUGAGGAGCUCAGGCAAUAUAAAGUCCUGGUUCACUCUCAGGAACGAGAGCUGAUCCAGUUAAGGGAGAAGUUACGGGAAGGGAGAGAUGCCUCCCACUCACUGAAUCAGCAUCUCCAGGCUCUUCUCACUCCGGAUAAGCAUGACAACUCCCAGGGGCAGGACUUCCGAGAACAGCUGGCUGAGGGGUGUAGGCUGGCACGGCACCUUGUCCACAAGCUCAGCCCAGAAAAUGACACAGAUGAGGAUGAAAAUGAUAAAACCAAGGAGCUUGAUAAAGUACAGGAAUCACCUGCUCCCAGGGAGGAGCAGAAGGCUGAAGAAAAGGAAGUCCCUGAGGACUCACUGGAGGAAUGUGCCAUCACUUAUUCAAAUAGCCAUGGCCCUUCUGACUCCAACCCGCCUCACAAGAACAUCAAAAUCACAUCUGAGGAAGACAAAGUCAACUCAAUUCUGGUUGUAGACAGUGAAUCUUCUCAAGAUGAAUGGCAGGAUGCUCUAAACAUUCUUCUGGAAAAUCAAAAUGAUGAUGAGGAAGAGGAAGGGAAAGCGCCAGUGCCCCCCCAGGUAACUCUGUGGAUUUGUGGGCUGAAGCUGCAGGAGUCUGAAGAGAAGGAAGUCCUGCAGGACUCCCCGGAGGAAAGGGUUACGACUUCUUGUAGUGACCAUGAUGUGUCCCAAUCUUACCAACCUUGUGAAGGCACUUUCUUGGCACUAGUUGAACAGAAAGUUUGCUCUGCUCAGGAUGUAGCCAGCGAACACUCCAAUUCCAAAGGGGAAGAAACUCCACUUGGCUUCCCAGAGCUGGGUUUAGAGCCUUCCCUUGCAAUGAAGAUCCCUCCCCAGCUGGAAGGUGAUGCUCUUGAAGGUUCAGCUGACAACACACAUGGGCAUCAAGUCAUUGGCCACAUUCACGCCUCAAGUGUCCUAAAACCAAAAAUGAUCAAAAGAAAACUGCCGUUCAGCAAGUGGAGACUGGCAUGCAGAUUCUCUGGCCUGCAAGCUUAGAGUAGGAAGAUACCAAAUACUGCUGGAAGGAUGAAAAGGAUGAAAGGAUGUCACAAAAAGUAGCUUUUCUGCUCGAUGAAAAAAACUACAACAGCAAACCAAGUUCAAUUCCAAACACAACACUGCAGGGCUCCUUCACUGAGGAUUGAAUUUUAGACACAGAAUGCUCUUGAUGAUUGCAAACCACUAGGCUCCUUUGAUUUGAGAAACCACAAUUCAUCCUAUUUCCACUUGAGAUGAAUACCCAAGGAGACCAAUUCCCAGAUGGACAAACAGCAUUGAGAGGCCUUAGCCCUGCUCCUCUCAAUUCCAUCCUGUAGAGAACAGGAGUCAGGAGCCGCUGGCAGGAGACAGCAUGUCACCCGGGACUCUGCCAGUGCAGAAUAUGAACAAUGCCAUAUUCUUGCGGAAAACACUUAGCCUGAGUUUCAUAGGAAGUAAUCAGCAGACAACUGCAGAAUGUAGAACACUGAGCAGGACAACUGACCGCUCUCCUUCACACAAUCCAUGUCACCACAAAUCACACAACAAAAAGAGAAGAGACAUUUUGGGUUCAAAAGGAUUGAAAAGAUAAUGUAGCUCACUUCUUUAGUCACUUUGAACCCAAAGUAUCUCCUCAUCUUUUUGUUGUUGUCAUUGAUGGUGGUGACAUGGAUUUGUUUGUAGAGGACGUCAGCUGUCUGGCUCAAUUUUCUUCAUUCUGAAGUUGUCAGAAAAUUUCCUUAUGAUUAAAUUCAGCCUAAAUGUUUUGCCAGGAACACUGCAAAGUCAAUGCUGUGAGUUUCCAACCUCAGUCCAUCUGCGGGCAGAGAAGGUCCAGUUUGUCCAUCACCAUUAUUGUGAUAUCAGGACUGGUUACCUGGUUAAGGAGGGGUCUAGGAGAUCUGUCCCUUGUAAAGACACCUGAUUUAUAAUUAAUUUGAAAAGUGGUUUGAAAAAGUACAAAUACCUGUAUUCUAACAAUCUUCCUCUGAGCAUUUUAUCAUCAAUUAAUCACCCCUGGCUGUGUCAGUUAUUAUAUUUAUGUUUGUACGUUGGAAAUUUUUAUCUCAGUCCUUAGUAUGAACUUGUUUCUGCUGGCAUUCUGUUGUGAAAAAGAAUAUUCCCUGCCCAAAUUUUAACUUUCAUCCAAGAUUAAUUUUAGUCUAUUAAAAUUAAAAUGUUUAUGUUUUAAAUCUGUUUAAUUAAAAUAUUCUUGCCUAUUA